UUGAGUUUGAUCAUGGCUCAGAUUGAACGCUGGCGGCAGGCCUAACACAUGCAAGUCGAGCGGUAACAGGAAGGAAGCUUGCUUUCUUUGCUGACGAGCGGCGGACGGGUGAGUAAUGCCUGUGAAAUUGCCCUGAUGUGGGGGAUAACCAUUGGAAACGAUGGCUAAUACCGCAUGAUGCCUACGGGCCAAAGAGGGGGACCUUCGGGCCUCUCGCGUCAGGAUAUGCCCAGGUGGGAUUAGCUAGUUGGUGAGGUAAUGGUCUCACCAAGGCGACGAUCCCUAGCUGGUCUGAGAGGAUGUAUCAGCCCACACUGGAACUGAGACACGGUCCAGUCUCCUACGGGAGGCAGCAGUGGGGAAUAUUGCACAAUGGGCGCAAUGCCUGAUGCAGCCAUGCCGCGUGUAUGAAGAAGGCCUUCGGGUUGUAAAGUACUUUCAGUGGUGAGGAAGGGAGUGUGGUUAAUAGCCAUAUUCUUUGACG
rnacentral:rRNA from 1 species